rnacentral:rRNA from 1 species
GGGCCCCAUUUUUAGCGUUGCGGUCUGAAACCCAGCUCGUGGUAAAACAUGGGUGAUGGGGCGGUACUGCAGGCAGGGCUCAAAUCUGGUUUCUCGAAGACAACCUGUGCCCUUUACUGGGUUUUGCGGGAAUCAUUGUACUCGAGACAUUUACUUUGAAAAAAUUAGAGUGUUCAAAGCAGGCAGUUUUCGCUUGAAUACAUUAGCAUGGAAUAAUGGAAUAGGACUUUGGUCUUAUUUUGUUGGUUUCUAGGACCGAAGUA